GAUGAACGCUGGCGGCGUGCCUAAUACAUGCAAGUCGAGCGAACGGACGAGAAGCUUGCUUCUCUGAUGUCAGCGGCGGGCGGGUGAGUAACACGUGGAUAACCUACCUAUAAGACUAGGAUAACUUCGGGAAACCGGAGCUAAUACCGGAUGAUAUUUUGAACCGCAUGGUUCAAAAGUGAAAGACGGUCUUGCUGUCACUUAUAGAUGGAUCCGCGCUGCAUUAGCUAGUCGGUAAGGUAACGGCUUACCAAGGCAACGAUGCAUAGCCGACCUGAGAGGGUGAUCGGCCACACUGGAACUGAGACACGGUCCAGACUCCUACGGGAGGCAGCAGUAGGGAAUCUUCCGCAAUGGGCGAAAGCCUGACGGAGCAACGCCGCGUGAGUGAUGAAGGUCUUCGGAUCGUAAAACUCUGUUAUUAGGGAAGAACAUAUGUGUAAGUAACUGUGCACAUCUUGACGGUACCUAAUCAGAAAGCCACGGCUAACUACGUG
rnacentral:rRNA from 1 species